rnacentral:rRNA from 1 species
UACCAGCUCUCCGAGUGGUGUGGAUGUUUAUUGGGCCUAAAGCAUCCGUAGCUGGCUGGGCAAGUCCCCUGUUAAAUCCACCGAUUUAAUCGUUGGUGUGCGGGGGAUACUGUUCGGCUAGGGGACGGGAGAGGCCGACGGUAUUUUCGGGGUAGGGGUGAAAUCCUAUAAUCCCGGGAAGACCACCAGUGGCGAAGGCUGUCGGCUAGAACGCGCCCGACGGUGAGGGAUGAAAGCUGGGGGGAGCGAACCGGAUUAGAUACCCGGGUAGUCCCAGCUGUAAACGAUGCAGGCUAGGUGUUUGGGCGGCCACGUGCCGCUCUAGUGCCGCAGAGAAGCCGUUAAGCCUGCCGCCUGGGGAGUACGGCCGCAAGGCUGAAACUUAAAGGAAUUGGCGGGGGAGCACCACAAGGGGUGAAGCUUGGCGGUUU